rnacentral:lncRNA from 10 species
UGCGCCAUUGCACUCCAGCCUGGGUGACAGAGCGAGACUCCAUUGCGCGCACGCGCACGCACACGCGCACACACACACACACACACACAAAAGAUAAGCAUGACGGAUCUCUGGCUUUAUCAUGAUUAUCUUUAUUGAAAGGGUCCAAGGAGAAUAACAAAGAUUUCAAAAAGUUCGCUGUGUCUCUUCCAGCAUCGCACCACUGGACAGUCUGGGGGCACCCGUGAUUGUCAUUGAGGUGCUUUUUGUUUAUUUGUGGGUUCAGAAAUUAGCUCAUAAUCCAUGCUGGGCUGGUUAGGAUUGGCCUCAGUGUGAUGAUGGUUAACCCACUGACCAUUACAUUCAGAGCCUCCUGCUUGUCAAGGCCACAGCCAUUGCCAUUGACUCCUUCAAGUUCCUUCUGCUCUCCCGGUUGCCCCUGCUCCUCUCCAGGCUGCCAUGGGUGUAAAUAGUUGCUCAUAAGUCUUGUGGGCUGAGUCCUGGGCUUUAUUAUUUGACUAUUUAGUGAGCCUUUUCCAGGUGCUAGUUGUUGAAGAGAAUAUAAAAGAAAUGGGAAACCUUUGCUCCCCCAGGGAAUGCAGUCCAGCCAGGGAACAAAUGUAGCACACACAAGGCAAUCAAGUCUCAGGAGAAGGCUGUGCGGGAGGAAGUGGCCAUGUGGGCCAGGAAAGCCAGGGCGGGGGAAGAAAGGGGCCGCCUGGGAGGCUGAGGACCUCAUCAGGAAGGAGAUGGGGCAGCAGCUGGAUCCAGAGGAUGGGGGUGGUUUGGCUGGGCAGAGAGCAGAGCGGACACUUACUGUUUGUAGCUGUUACUGAAAUGUCAUGCGUGCUUGUCUUAUCUCCCAGCUGGAUUGCACACUCCUUGGGGUAGUGACCUUUCCCUUGGUAAUCCGCACAGAGCCAUGCAUACAGUAGGAGAAUAAUACACCUCUGCGAAAUGAGGUCGUUCUGAAAGUGUUCAGAAAUAAAGUCAGGAAGUUAAUUCGCAGUUAUUGAAACUGCUAAUAUUGGUAAUGAGACAUCUUUUGAAAAUCACUGUUAUUCUCUUCUGAACAUCUCAAUGCAUAUAUUCAUGAUAAAGCUUGACUGGUUAUCUUAAAUUGUUAAUUGUUUCAUGCUGUGAUGUUGACAAGGUUUUUUCUUAAACCCAACAUGAGGAAUGUUUAAAAAACAAACUUUUAUCUCAGCCUAAAGUGCAUAAGAGCCACUUCUACAAAGCAGGGAGUGUGAUUUGCAAAACAUGGCCUAGAGGAACUGGCAUUUUGUUUUGUUUUGUUAUGUUUUGUUUAAUAAUUAGGAGAUGAGAUCAUUGAACUUGGAAGCCUGAUAGCAAUGGGAAGCCGACUCUGGACUGCAGAUGUAGAAGAUCCACUGGGUGGGAUUUGUCCAUGUGCAUAGUGUGCAGUGAGGCUGCAGUGUAGGUAGUGACGGGGCUCCCUGUCCCCACCUGCUCCCCUGGACCCAGGAACUAGAGGUGAAACUAAGAAAGGAAAUUAUGGCAAAGAGAAAGACUGCAUGUGGAAGGCAAGGAGUAUCUUCACACAAAUGCGUUUUCCCUAUUUUUUUUUUGUCUUCCAAAGAAAAAAUGAGAGCAAACCCAGUUCCCAGAUAAAAGAAUCAGAAUACCCUCCCACACACCUGCCCUCAUGUGACUGAGGCACUUGGCCAGUUCAUAAACAAGCCAUGGUGAUGACCUAUAACAGACGCGUCCUGACCUGGCAGACCGCAGGGGACGUGAAGAAGCUUGGCCUGAAAUAUUCUGACGUGUCCCAGCCUCACACUCACAUAGUUCCUGGGCACCCAGAAAGAUGGGGCCUAGGAAUACUCUUAUUGAGAAUCUGGCAUGAAUGAAUCACACCAAAGACUGCCAGCUAAGUGAGAGAUUUACAGUCUCCAGCCUUGAGUUCUGAGUGUUUUCAGAUGUGGACAGGGUCUGAGACUCUCACGUGACAAGCCAUGGGCCCUAUGCCGAGGCAGACUCCUGCUCUGUGCUGCUCCUAGGGAACCACGGCAGCUUCGAAAUGCAUUCUAAUCUGCCCUCUUAUUGUGACAGUUUAUAUUGUACUUAGAACCUAAAAUUAAGACUCUAAACUGAGAAGAGUAACAGGCUCUCCAGUAGCCACUGUGGAUUUGCAUGCAAAGUGCAGACUGACAUUUGAAACUCUUCACUUUUUACCCGCCACUCAUCUUUCCAACCUUGUCACCCAGAUCAUCUGAGUGGUCUCCGUCCCUGAAUCCCUGCAUGCACUUUUGCUUUCUGUCCUUCCCUCUCCCUCAGUUCACUCCCACCAGCCAUGAUUUGAAUGUUUGCCCCUUCAAACCUCGGGUUGAAAUUUAAUUUCCAUUGCAAUGGUAUUGGAAGGUGGGACCUUUAAGAAGUGUUUGGGUCAUGAAGGCUUUGUUUUUCUUAUUGUGGGAAUGGGUUUGUUAUCCUGGGAGGGGAGGGGGUUGACCCCUCUUGCUGCCUCUCCCUCUCCCCCUUUCUGCCCUUCCUCUAUGUGAUGCCUUCUGUCGUGUUAUGACAGAGCAAGAAGGCCCUUGCCAGAUGCUAGCAGUUUGAUCUUGGGCUUUCCAGCUUCCAGAACUGUCAGCCAAUAAAUUGCUGCUCAUUGUAAAUUACCCAGUCUAUGCUAUUCUGUUAUAGCAACAUAAAACAGAUUAACACACCACCCUUUCUGUCUAGUGACAUCUCAUUUGUCUCUCAAGGCCCUACUCAAAUGCUACCUUGUGCUUGAAACUAUCUGUUUAAUCAGCCUCCCUUAGAGUGAUCCUUCCUUCUCCUCCCAGAAAGGCCCACAUAUAUUGCUUUAGAACAAUCAUGUUUGGUAAAAUGAAUAAUCUACCAAUUUUAGCUUGAUGACCCAUCGCUCAAUGUAAUUUAUUAAGCUCACUUUGCCACAUCAGGUACAGAUUUAGACACUAAGAGGAACAGAGAUGCAAAGAAAACCAAUGAGCUAACAGAACACUGGACUCUAGUUUGCACACUGAUGUGCAGUAUUUCUAAUGUACCCAUAAACAUAUUAUUAUGCAAC